ACGUACACUCCUACGGGAGGCAGCAGUGGGGAAUUUUGGACAAUGGGGGCAACCCUGAUCCAGCAAUGCCGCGUGAGUGAAGAAGGCCUUCGGGUUGUAAAGCUCUUUUGUCAGGGAAGCAACGGUGGUGGCGAAUAACUACUACUAAUGACGGUACCUGAAGAAUAAGCACCGGCUAACUACGUGCCAGCAGCCGCGGUAAUACGUAGGGUGCAAGCGUUAAUCGGAAUUACUGGGCGUAAAGCGUGCGCAGGCGGUUGUGUAAGUCAGAUGUGAAAUCCCCGGGCUCAACCUGGGAAUUGCAUUUGAGACUGCACGGCUAGAGUGUGUCAGAGGGGGGUAGAAUUCCACGUGGAGCAGUGAAAGGCGUAGAUAUGUGGAGGAAUACCGAUGGCGAAGGCAGCCCCCUGGGAUAACACUGACGCUCAUGCACGAAAGCGUGGGGAGCAAACAGGAUUAGAGACCUUAGUAGUCCC
rnacentral:rRNA from 1 species